CGGCUUUCGCACUGAUUGCCCAGAUGAUCCUUGACCUCUGAGAUCACUGUGAAAACCGAC
rnacentral:pre_miRNA from 1 species